rnacentral:rRNA from 1 species
GAUUCUGGCUCAGGAUGAACGCUAGCGACAGGCCUAACACAUGCAAGUCGAGGGGCAGCACAAGGAGUAAUCUGAGGUGGCGACCGGCGCACGGGUGAGUAACACGUAUGCAACCUGGCUGUAAGAGGGGAAUAACCCGGAGAAAUCCGGACUAAUACCGCAUAAUACUUAGAAUCCGCAUGGAUUUUAAGUUAAACAUUUAUGGCUUACAGAUGGGCAUGCGUAUGAUUAGCUGGUUGGAGAGGUAGCGGCUCCCCAAGGCAACGAUCAUUAGGGGUUCUGAGAGGAAGGUCCCCCACACUGGUACUGAGACACGGACCAGACUCCUACGGGAGGCAGCAGUGAGGAAUAUUGGUCAAUGGACGCAAGUCUGAACCAGCCAAAGUCGCGUGAAGGAAGAAUGUCCUAUGGAUUGUAAACUUCUUUUGAAGGGGAAUAAAGUACGGUACGUGUACCGUUUUGUAUGUACCCUUCGAAUAAGGAUCGGCUAACUCCGUGCCAGCAGCUGC